rnacentral:misc_RNA from 1 species
AGACAAUACACCAUUAACUCAAAAGCCAAAGUAGCAUGAAUCUGAACCCAUUCUCAGCAAAUUCCUGGCAAGUUAUCCCAAGAGCAAGAGCCAAGAGUCCUGCCAUGGUCUGCUGGGGGAAAAAGUGAAGCUAUCUGCUGCAUCUCAAACCCAAUAUUAUCAUCUGUUAAGACCGAAGAUGGCCCAUUGGAGAUAUCCGCACUAUCACUAUACAACUCAGGCUGCAUCGGAGAAGGGAGGAUGUUCAAAACCUUGGUGAAGUCUUCAGGCAUGGCGUUGAUUUGGCCUGCAAUGUCAACCUCGGGUUCCAAUCCUGAAGACAACGCAAGAGAACUGGUUUGAUCCCAAUGUAAGUCAAAUCCGUCAGAAACGAGCAGCUCAGGCUUCUGUUCCUGCAACACCAAACUGCUCUGCUCUGUCGAAGUCUGUCCACAUUCCGUCAAUGCCUUGGCCUCUUGCAACAGAUCCUCCAACGCCCACCCCAGGUUGCCAUUAACCUUAUCUUUAAUAGAAUUACCAAUUUUCUUCUUAGUCGCUCUUUUACCAAACUUACUACCAAUAGUAGCAAUACCAAUCCCCAAAUUCCUAUUCUGGUUUGUUGUUGACAAAAAUUGGUUUGAAGGGAGCUCCGGCUGGGUCACAGCAGCCAAAUGCGAACACAUUUCCUGAUCCUCUUUCUGCAGUUCAUUGUGGAACUCACUGCAGCUAAAGCAGGAACGCAUCUGGUGACCCAGAGGUUUGUUGGAUGCCGAAGCAGGGGGCAAUGGUGAUAAGGGGAGCGAGAAGUGAGAAUUAGGACUAAUACUGGAUUUAGUGGAGGUGUUGUUGGUUGUGGUGAGGGAGGCGAUGUUAGGAGAGGAGGAGAAUCGUUUGAAGCGCAUAGGGGUCUGAAGGAUAGGAGGGGUUCUGGAUACACAGAAAUCAAAAAGUGGUAGAGUAGAAAAACACGUCGAUGCUUUGGUGGACGGAGAGGACAGUGGAGAUACAGGGGGUGGAGUAGAACAUGCACAAUUGUGUGUUUGUGCAUGGGUUGGGGAGGGAACUUGGGUUUGGAAAAAAAAAGAAGAGGUUGGGGUGGUAGGUGUGGAGUGAGAUGUAUGGUGGUGGUAGGGUUGAGAGAAGUCAAAAAGUGGAAGCGUAGGAAAACUAGUAGCAGUGGGGGUAGGGAAUAGAGGGGGAGGGGAAGCAGACGUUGGAGUGAGUGUGUGAGUGGCGGAGUUCGUUGUUGGGAAGGUGAAAGAGGAGGUAGGGGUGGUCGGAAUGAUGGAUACAGAAGAGGAUCUGCGGUGGUGAAAGUGGGGGCUUGGUGGGUAUUGAGGUUGAAUAUCAGGAGGAUAAAGAGGAAGGCCUUGGCGUUGGUGUCUCUUGAUUCUUGUGUUCCAGUAGUUCUUGAUUUCAUUAUCUGUUCUUCCGGGCAAGCGAGCAGCUAUGGCAGACCACCUAUUACCAAACAAAAAGUAUUAAAAAAACAAUUAUCCAAUGACUCCUUUAUUAAAGAAGAUAUAAUAUUAUAUAAUAUAAAUGAAAGGCUUACUUGUUUCCUAAUAUACUAUGUAGCUGAAUUAUUGUCUCCUCCUCUUCGAAAGAAAAUCGACCUCUCUUGAUAUCGGGUCGCAGAUAGUUAGUCCAACGAAGACGGCAACUCUUUCCACACCUUUGCAGACCAGCAUUCUUUGGCAGUGUCCUCCAGUUGCCAUAUCCAUGUUUCUGGAUAUAAUCAAUCAGCUUCUGAUCCUCCUCCGGGGUCCAAGGUCCUUUCUUGAGUCCAUUUUUGUCACAACACGGUGCUCUCCCCAUGUUUAAAAAACUUGAGCGCUUCUUGAAGCUACUGUGCUUAGUUUUUUUGAACUAUUUAGGGAGAGGAAGAGAGUAGUAGAGGAACGAAAGAUGGAGGGUCCGUAUGGCAACGUACUUGUAUAAAUAGAUAGC